UCGCUGUAUAAAACAUCGCGUCACGUUCUCAUCUUCCUCCUUCGACCCGCUCUCUCAGAGAAUGGAGGUGUUGGUGGACACGAGUCUCGGUUCAGCACGAGGUUGCACCCCAGUAGUGACUGCAGAGGUCACAAGAUGAGUUGAAUAUGAACCCGUCCAGUCAUCGAAACGCUCCCGAGACCGUUCAAGGGAGCCUUCUGUAACAGACGCUGCAGUGCUGUCCGUGAGGAGACUCCAUCGCUGUGUGCGGUGCGCUGGUGCUGAUGUCCCGUGUGACCGCUGGAGCAGCGCAGGAUUUCGGAGGUUCUUGCCCAGUACGUGGAAGCUGGAGUCGUGCAAAUCAAACCCAAUAAAGUGUGAACUGAUCUAAAAUUUC